rnacentral:rRNA from 1 species
UACGUAGGGUCCGAGCGUUGUCCGGAAUUACUGGGCGUAAAGAGCUCGUAGGUGGUUUGUCGCGUUGUUCGUGAAAACUCACAGCUCAACUGUGGGCGUGCGGGCGAUACGGGCAGACUAGAGUACUGCAGGGGAGACUGGAAUUCCUGGUGUAGCGGUGGAAUGCGCAGAUAUCAGGAGGAACCCCGGUGGCGAAGGCGGUUCUCUGGGCCUUACCUGACGCUGAGGAGCGAAAGCGUGGGGAGCGAACGGG